rnacentral:rRNA from 1 species
GGAAUAUUGCACAAUGGGCGCAAGCCUGAUGCAGCGACGCCGCGUGGGUGAAUACGGUUUUCGGACUGUAAAGCCCUUUUCUGUGUGACGAGAGUGGACGGUAGCACAGGAAUAAGUUUCGGCUAACUACGUGCCAGCAGCCGCGGUAAAACGUAGGAGGCGAGCGUUAUCCGGAGUUACUGGGCGUAAAGCGCGUGCAGGCGGAUGGUUAAGUUACUUAUGAAAGAUCCUGGCUAAACUGGGAGAGGUUGAGUGAAACUGGCUAUCUAGAGUGGAUGAGAGGUUGACGGAAUUCCUUGUGUAGUGGUGAAAUGCGUAGAUAUAAGGAAGAACACCAGUGGCGAAGGCGGUCAACUGGCAUCCAACUGACGCUCAGACGCGAAAGCAUGGGUAGCGAAC